AGAACUUCAAGUUCAUCCAAAACAUACAUUCAAUCGAAAACCUAACUAACACUCGUCCGAUUGACCUGAAACUUUUCACGCACGUCCAAAUGACAUGACGGUGCUACAGAAACUUCCAGAAUCUCGUUCCGACCCUCCGAUAAAAAAUUCCCUAUUGGACCGGAAACCUCCAAAUUCUAACUUUCAGCAUUUCUAGCCUAAAUGAGAUACAGACAUCGAAAAUACAUACCGAACAUGCUCUCAAUCCCGAAAUUACCUAACGAAGCUAACAUAACCAUCAAAUUCCCAUUCCAAGGUCGUAUUCACAUUGUUCUGUUUACG
rnacentral:lncRNA from 1 species